GACCCGUAACCCGAGUCCGCCUCCGUCCGCGGCCGCGUCAUUAUAUCCUCUUUCCUCUCGCCUCCACCCCAGAUCUCGCUCGCCCGGCGAGCGAUCCAACUCUAUUCCAGGGACAACCACAGAGAUCACCUUCUCCACUCAAGAUGGGGCUUCUUAUUAGAAGAGGAGGAAGGAUUUUGCUUAUUGCAGCAAGAGUGGUGUUCCACAAAUGCCAAGAAUUUCAAGCUUAGAUAUGGAUAUUAUCAAAAAGAGUACGCAUUGCUCAGAAAUGUACCCUUCAUGCAGACAGAUUUGUUUCCAAGAUGGCUUGGUGUAGGGACUGUGCCUCUAUAUGGCACCAUUCUGUAUAGAUGAAAAUUAGCACAUGGAUGUUGCUGAUUUUUUUACGAAGGGGUACUCCUUUUCCCCCACGCUUGAAUAUGAAAAAAAGAACAAAGUGAAGAUUACCUUGUGUACUUAGCCUUGCGACAAAUUAGGCCUUGUAUUAUGCCAGUAAAGUGCCCUGUGCAUAGUAUUUUAACAAUCUUUAGAACUUUAGGGCAGGAAGACUCGUGGUUUGGGAGCUGGGCGUAAGCUGAGGACCCACAGAAGGACCCAGAAGUGGGCUGACAAAGCAUAUAAGAAAGGUCACCUUGGCAAUGAAUGGAAGAACCCUUUGGCUGGCUCUUCUCAUGCAAAAGGGAUUGUUUUUGAGCAAAUGUGACCAAAAGUCACAUGCCCUUCACAUUCCUCCUUCCUAAAGGAAUCAUGGUUUAAAACAUAACAAAACGGCUUUAUCUGCAGUGGCAUCGAGGCAAAGCAGCCAAAUUCUGUCAUCCAAAAGUGCGCCUGAGUUCGGCCGAUCAAAAAUGGGAAGAAGAUUGCUGCAUCUGUUCCCAAUGAUGGUUGCUUAAAUUUCAUCGAGGAAAUUGGAAGUUUGCUUCUAUCUUCCCCCAGAAGUGGAUGAAGUGCCGAUUGCAGGAUUUGGACGUAAAGGGCAUGCAGUUGGUGAUAUUCCUGGAGUCAGGUUUAAGGUCAAGGUCUCAGGUGUGACUCUAUUGGCUCUCUUCAAGGAGGAGGAGAAACCGAGAUCUUAGGCCACAUGAUCUUGAUUACCGGCCAGGCAUCGAGGGAUGCUGGAUGAUUUUGGAGGGUUGUUAAGUCUGUAUUCUUCGUAGUUAAGACAACAAUGCCAUUUCAUUUUUGAUGGUUGCAUCAUUAAGGAGAAUUUUGAGCCUUUCGUGUUUUUUUUAAUCAAAAUCAGAGAUUUUGAAUCCCUAUCAUGAUAUUUUGCUGAAGUCUCUUUUUAUGCUA